CCUAUGGGAGGCAGCAGUAGGGAAUCUUCCACAAUGGACGCAAGUCUGAUGGAGCAACGCCGCGUGAGUGAAGAAGGGUUUCGGCUCGUAAAGCUCUGUUGUUGGUGAAGAAGGACAGGGGUAGUAACUGACCUUUGUUUGACGGUAAUCAAUUAGAAAGUCACGGCUAACUACGUGCCAGCAGCCGCGGUAAUACGUAGGUGGCAAGCGUUGUCCGGAUUUAUUGGGCGUAAAGCGAGUGCAGGCGGCUCGAUAAGUCUGAUGUGAAAGCCUUCGGCUCAACCGGAGAAUUGCAUCAGAAACUGUCGAGCUUGAGUACAGAAGAGGAGAGUGGAACUCCAUGUGUAGCGGUGAAAUGCGUAGAUAUUAGGAGGAACACCAGUGGCGAAGGCGGCUCUCUGGACUGUAACUGACGCUGAGGCUCGAAAGCGUGGGUAGCGAACAGGAUUAGAUACCCCAGGUAGUCC
rnacentral:rRNA from 1 species